UACGAAGGGGGCUAGCGUUGCUCGGAAUCACUGGGCGUAAAGCGCACGUAAGCGGCUUUCUAAGUCAGGGGUGAAAUCCUGGAGCUCAACUCCAGAACUGCCUUUGAUACUGGAGAGCUUGAGUCCGGGAGAGGUGAGUGGAACUCCGAGUGUAGAGGUGAAAUUCGUAGAUAUUCGCAAGAACACCAGUGGCGAAGGCGGCUCACUGGCCCGGUACUGACGCUGAGGUGCGAAAGCGUGGGGAGCAAACAGG
rnacentral:rRNA from 1 species